UAUAAAAAAGGCGAUGGGGCUCGCCAGAAUUACCCAAACGAAGGGUUGAUGGCUCCUAGUUUUUC
rnacentral:ncRNA from 2 species